rnacentral:rRNA from 1 species
AUGCGAGAAGCGGCAUAUAGACAGAGGAGGGAGCAGAGUGGCAUCCUCCUUCCUCUCUUCCGCCCCCGUCGCCGGGCCGCAGGCAGCUCACCGCCGCCGCCUCCUCCCCCCGCCCACCGCCUCCUCACCGUCCGUCCCAACCCCUUCGCGCCCCUUUGUAUCCUCCGCUAUCCGCCCGUACAGAUCCGUCCGGCGAGCAUCCUCAGCCGCCCCCGACGGGCUCGCCGCCGCCAGGACCUCACCGCUGCCCCCCUCACCGCGAAGAGAACCGAGGUCCGCCCAAGCUCCAAUUUUUCGCCUGGGGAACAGACCGCCCGCCGCCUUCUCUGCUCCACUGAAGAUACGGUGAUUCCUUCCUGCUUGGACGACUGGGAUCAUCAGCUUGCGCCGGCUGACUACAAGCGAGCCCCCAUGGCGGGGCUAGAGGAGUUAAAGAAGAAGCUGCAGCCCUUGCUGUUCGACGACUCGGACAAGGGCGGCGUCAGCACCCGGGUUCCCUUCCCGGAGGAUACAUGCGAUUCCUAUGUGGUAUCUGAUGGUGGAACGAUAAAUUUACUGAGUAGAUCGUUUGGUGAGUAUAACAUCAAUGAGCAUGGCUUUCACAAGCGAAGUACUGGGCCAGAAGAGCCCGAUACCGGUGAGAAGGCAUACCGAUGUGCAUCUGAAGACAUGCAUAUAUUUGGUCCCAUUGGAAGCGGAGCAAGCAGCGUUGUUCAGAGAGCUAUUUUCAUACCAGUUCAUCGUAUUCUGGCCUUGAAGAAGAUAAACAUAUUUGAGAAGGAGAAAAGGCAACAAAUUCUUAAUGAGAUGAGAACGUUAUGUGAAGCAAGUUGCUAUCCUGGUUUAGUUGAAUUCCAGGGUGCAUUUUACAUGCCCGAUUCUGGACAAAUAAGCAUUGCCCUUGAAUACAUGGAUGGUGGCUCUUUAGCAGACGUUAUAAGAGUCAAGAAAUCAAUACCAGAGCCAGUUCUUGCGCAUAUGCUACUGAAAGUAUUACUUGGCCUGAAGUACUUGCAUGAAGUAAGACAUCUAGUGCAUAGAGAUCUAAAGCCAGCGAAUAUACUGGUAAACCUCAAGGGAGAGGCAAAAAUUACAGACUUUGGUGUAAGUGCUGGUUUGGACAAUACAAUGGCUAUGUGUGCUACCUUUGUAGGAACCGUGACAUAUAUGUCACCUGAGAGAAUUCGUAAUGAGAACUACUCUUAUGCUGCUGAUAUUUGGAGUCUUGGACUAACGAUAUUGGAGUGUGCUACUGGUAAAUUUCCAUAUAAUGUCAAUGAAGGCCCAGCCAAUCUCAUGCUGCAGAUACUCGAUGAUCCAUCACCAGCACCACCAGAAGAUGCCUAUACACCAGAAUUUUGUUCCUUCAUAAAUGAUUGCUUGCGGAAAGAUGCUGAUGCAAGGCCUACAUGCGAGCAGCUUUUGUCACACCCAUUCAUCAAGAGGUAUGAGCAAACUGGUGUGGACUUGGCAGCAUAUGUCAGGGGUGUUGUUAACCCAACAGAAAGAUUAAAGCAAAUAGCAGAGGUGAAUUCUGUUGAGCAUAUUUCAGCUUACUGUUCUUUCUACUUCAGUUAA